GCUCAGAGUGAACGCUGGCGGCGUGCUUAACACAUGCAAGUCGAACGAGAACGGAUUAUAGCUUGCUAUAAUUGUCAGCUAAGUGGCGCACGGGUGAGUAAUGUAUAGAUAACCUGCCCUUAAGAAAGGAAUAACAGUUGGAAACGACUGCUAAUGCCCUAUAUGCCUUUAAUACAUAAGUAUGCAAGGGAAACGCUUUAGUGCUUAAGGAUGGGUCUGUAUGGUAUCAGCUUGUUGGUGAGGUAAUGGCUCACCAAGGCUAUGACGCCUAACUGGUUUGAGAGGAUGAUCAGUCACACUGGAACUGAGACACGGUCCAGACUCCUACGGGAGGCAGCAGUGGGGAAUAUUGCACAAUGGACGAAAGUCUGAUGCAGCAACGCCGCGUGGAGGAUGACACAUUUCGGUGCGUAAACUCCUUUUAUAUAGGAAGAUAAUGACGGUACUAUAUGAAUAAGCACCGGCUAACUCCGUGC
rnacentral:rRNA from 1 species